AAUGGCGUGAACCCGGGAGUUGGAGCUUGCAGUGAGCUGAGACUGCGCCGCUGCACUCUGGCCUAGGCAAAAGAGCGAGACUCUGUCUCAAACAAACAAACAAACAAACAAAAGAACUGUAACACUCACUGCGAGGGUCCGCGGCUUCAUUCUUGAAGUCAGUGAGACCAAGAACCCACUGGAAGGAACCAAUUCCAGACAUAUUUUGGUGACCCAGAUGGGACUGUCGCCUAUCACCAAGUGUUAAGGUGGCAGGAGUGGAAUCUUGGAUUCACCAUAUCUGAGUUAAAUUUUGGACACCCCUUGAUGAACCUGUGGGACUGUCAGCUCAGGAGUCCCAAGAUCAGCCAGACCAGCCUCGAUAUACCUGUGAACCAUUGGAGGACUUGCAUCUUCCUAUUUCAAAAGGAAACAUCCCAGACUAAAAAGGCUCCUACCACCAAUCCUGAAGAAAAACCCCUUCCUUCUUAAAAAAGAUAAGUGAAAACCUACAUAAUCUUUAACACCUCUCCUUGCCCCUUUAAUGGAAUCCUUUUACUAUUUCAUCAUAUUGUUAAGCAGCAUACUAACCAUACUCUUUGUGAUAAGACUAUAUACUGUAGCUCCUGCUGGGAUGAAAAUCCUAAUCACAUCAACCUUCUUUCUCUCUUCCUCCCUUCUGACAGCAAUUUACUCCUACCUUUAACUUGGACUGGAUAAGAUGAUCUCAUCUUCCAGAGCACCCUCUUUAUCUUCCUAUUUGCUCUUUGCCUAUCUAUCCCUCCUGCUUCCUUGGAUACCUCAUACAAUCACCCCUCCCCUUCCACUAGCUCCUAACUACCUCUACAAUAAUCUCAACUUAACCCACUCUCUGUUAAACCAGUCCAGUCCUUCCCUGGCAAAUGACUGUUGGCUUUGUAUCUCUCUAUCAACUUCUGCUUACGUUGCCACUCCCAUUCCCGCAAAAAACUGGGUCUUUACCAACUUAACUUACCACCCUCAUUGUGAAGGAAAAGACGCUUUCUGAUUUCUAAAUAUGCAAUCAUUAGCCCACUUCCCCAUCUCUGAUAGGACGAAGAAUACCCUAACAGGAUGUGCAAUCCAACUUUUACGUUCUUACAUUUCCCACCUCACCUAUUACACAAGCAAUGAAAAGCCCAUACAUGACCCUGUAACUACAAAUACCAUCUUAACUUUCCAAGCCCCUUUAUGCAUCCAAUGCAACCUGUUAUAAGGCCUGCCCCUGGGGUACCUACUAACCCAUUAGUGUAAUUACACCAUACAACUUCAAGCCCCAGCUGAUCAUAGUAACUUCUGAGUCACCCAAACAGCUCCAUUCAGAUGGCUUGUCUGCUUCUCAGGGCACCCAGAAAUCAUCGCCUCCUCCCUGCUUAACAAACAGUCCAGGUUUUGUAAUGGCAAACAUACUCCCUGCAUGACCAUUCACCCCUGGACUCCCUCCAGCAGCGCCCCCACCACUAGUGAAUGCCUUCUCAUCCCCUAUUUCAAUCACUCUCUGGAAUGGUUCCUGGUAGAUACAAAACGAUUUUUUUCUCCAAUGGGAAAACAGAACACAGGGAGCCACUCAGUUUGCUCCCAACACCCCUUUCCAGCUGCUCACUGGAGCUACCUUGGCAAGUACUCUAGGAGUAUGGGAAAAUGAAAACAACAAACUCACACACCUUUUUAACAUACACAACCAGUUCUGUCUACCCAGCCAAGGUAUAUUCUUCUUAUGUGGAACGUCGACCUAUAUCUGCCUCCCCACUAACUGGACAGGCACCUGCACCUUAGUCUUUCUAAGUCCCAACAUUAACAUUGCCCCAGGAAAUCAGACCCUAUCAGUACCCCUCAAAGCUCAAGUCCAUCAGCACAGAGCCAUAUGACUGAUACCCCUACUUAUAGGGUUAGGAAUGGCUACUGCUACAGGAACCAGAAUAGCCAAUUUAUCUCCUUCAUUAUCCUACUACCACACACUCUCAAAGGAUUUCUCAGACAGUUUGCAUGAAAUAACGAAAUCUAUCCUUACUCUACAAUCCCAAAUAAACCCUUUGGCAGCAGUGACUCUCCAAAACUGCCGAGGCCUAGACCCCCUCACUGCUGAGAAAGGAGGACUCUGCACCUUCUUAGGAGAAGAGUAUUGUUUUUACACUAACCAGUCAGGGAUAGUAUGAGAUGCCGCCUGGCAUUUACAGGAAAAGGCUUCUGAAAUCAGACAACACCUUUCAAACUCUUAUACCAACCUCUGGAGUUGGGCAACAUGGCUUCUCCCCUUUCUAGGUCUCUUGGCAGCCAUCUUGCUAUUACUCGCCUUCGGGCUCUGUAUUUUUAACCUCCUUGUCAAAUUUGUUUCCUCUAGAAUCAAGGCCAUGAAGCUACAGAUGGUCUUACAAAUGGAACCCCAAAUGAGCUCAACUAACAACUUCUACUGAGGACCCCUGGACCGACCCACUGGCCCUUUCACUGGUCUAAAGAGUUCCCCUCUGGAGGACACUACAACUGCAGGGCCCCUUCUUUGCCCCUCUCUGGCAGGAAGUAGCUAGAGCGGUCAUCGUCCAAUUCCCAAAAGCAGUUGUAUGCUAGACAUGGGCUAUAGAUUGGUGAAUAAAAAAGACACUGCACCUACCCUGACGGAGAAUUGAAUCUAAUGAGGCAGACAAUAAAAUAAACAAAUAAACAUGUAAUUAUAAAGUGUGAUAAAUGCUACAAUGUAGAAGAAUAAGGUACCAUGAGAGAAUAACAAGAAGAACCUACUUCAGAGAAAGAGAAAUGACUGUUAAUCUCAUGUGUGAAGAGUAAAAUGGAGCCAGCUAUGCAAAGAAGGGAAUGAGGUGGGGACAGCACACUAUACUGAUGAAUUUAAUUUUUUUUAAAGAGACAGAGUCUUGCUAUGUUGCCCAGACUGGACUUGAAUCCUGGGCUUAAGGGAUCCUCCCACCUCAGUCUCCCAAGUACCUGGGACUACAGGCAUGCACCACUGCACCUGACUUGAAUUUUAUUUUUAUUUUGUUUUUUUAAUAUAAAAUUUAAAUAUGAAGUAAAUAUGAAUUUUAAUAUUAAGUAUUUUAUAUAAAAUUUAAAUAAUUCAGUAAUAAAAUACUCAUUUAAUCAAAACCAAAUAACCCUAAAAUAUAUGAAGUAAAAAAUGACCACUUUUUGCCUGUCACCCUGCAAAAUAUUGCAUUAUCUGGGAAGAAGUACGGUUAACAGAUUGGUGUGUUUGAAUAAUUCUCAACUGAUCAUUUCCCAGCUGUGAAAGAAUACAAACUGUAAGGAUCUUCCUUUGGAAAGAAUAAGAAAAUUGACACCAAAGUAACAAAGGCAGCAGAUGACUAAUGUCAGAACAUCUUUGCAAUAUCUUAGUAUGCUUCCAGUUGCAUAAUAAUUUGCAUCUGUGAAUAAUCAGUGGAAAUAAAGGUCUUCGCCAUCUGCCUUGGAAUAAUCACAUUCCCAGAUCUUUUAGAAAUUUACUUGAAAUAAAGUUUAUAACUUAUCUUUCUAACAAUCAAUAGAGCUGGUAAAAAUUGUUUUACUGCUUGAUUUGGCAGCUCAAAUUUCAAUUUUGAGUCAUUCAAAUUGCCUUUGCUUUUGCUCACAUUUGAUUGAUUUUGCAAUAAUGGUAAAUACAAAAGUGGGUACACAAGGCAUAUCACAUUACUAAAUAACAAACAGAUGAUAUUCAGAAUAUCUAAUCUAUAGUACUCUGUAUUUCACUAGAUCUAAAAUAUACUUGAAGACAGGCUAGAUUUAUCUUAAAAGUGUACAAAUGUCAAUUACGGACUCAAUUACAGACCCAUGAGGAAAAAAUACAUCCAGAUUUCUAAAGUAGAGAAUGCUGGGCUACCUCAGCUUCAUGAGAAAUGUGAAGCAUUUCACGACUAUGAGUCGUUUAUUUCCUAACAUAGAGUGGUACGUGCAGUAAGCCUGAAUUACCGGGAAUUCUGGGUCUCAGGGGAAGCUCAACCACACAUAAAGAGAAAUUGUGGUCCAGAGACACAUGCCCUCAGCGCCCUAAGAAAAAAUAUCCAAAAUGCUUUACUUCUUUAACUGUUUAAAGAAUUGUGAAAUAUAACACAUAUGUAGAAAAAGUGAUAAAAAUCUAAAGAUGUAUUUAAUAAGUGUCAUCUGUGUGAUUAUGAACCAGAUCAAGAAACCAAUUAUCAACACCCCAGAAGCUUCCAGGUGUUCCUUCUCUUCCCAAUCCCCCUUUUUCCCUCAAAGGUUACCUCUUGCCUUUUAUGGUUAUCACCCCUUACCUUUUCUUAUACUGUAAUCACCUACUUAUGUAUUUCUAAACACUAGAAUGUAGUUAUGCUUAAUUUUGAAUUUUAUAUAAAUUAAAUAACACUGUAUAUAUUUUUGUGUGUCUGGC
rnacentral:lncRNA from 10 species